AAGACACCACAUUGGAGUUUUUGGGCAGUUUCAAGGCCACCUUAUGGCCUACCGACAGGGAAGACAAAGGCAAAAUUGAAUUUCGCCUCCUGGGUGUCGACUGGGUAAUGAAAAUAGAUGAGUUCAACGCCAUCUUCAGCUUUGACAGUGCCGGCCACUAAGAGAUCCCUAGGAACUGCAUGCUCUACAAUAGCAUCAACUUCUGGAGUU
rnacentral:misc_RNA from 1 species